rnacentral:snRNA from 1 species
UUGCUUAGGCAGCACAUAUACUAAAAUUGGAAUGACACAAAGAUUAGCAUGGUCCCUGAGCAAGAAUAACAUGCAAAUUUGUGAAGUGUUCCAUAUAGAA